rnacentral:rRNA from 1 species
AGCUCCAAUAGCGUAUAUUAAAGUUGUUGUGGUUAAAAAGCUCGUAGUUGGAUCUCGGCGGUCCGAGGGCGGUUUACUUGCUAGUAUUACUGCCCUAUGGACCGUAGUUUUGUCGGAGGUUUUAGGGUGCUCUUAAUCGAGUGUCCUGAGAUGCCGACAGGUUUACUUUGAAAAAAUUAGAGUGCUCAAAGCAGGCUAUUACGCCUGAAUAUUCGUGCAUGGAAUAAUAGAAUAGGAAGUCGUUUCUAUUUUGUUGGUUUUCGGAAAUCGACUUAAUGAUUAAUAGGGACAGUCGGGGGCAUUUGUAUUCAAACGACAGAGGUGAAAUUCUUGGACCGUUUGAAGACAAACUACUGCGAAAGCAUUUGCCAAGAAUGUUUUCA